CCUACGGGAGGCAGCAGUGGGGGAUAUUGCACAAUGGGGGAAACCCUGAUGCAGCGACGCCGCGUGGGCGAUGGAGUGCUUCGGCAUGUAAAGCCCUAUCAGCAGGGAAGAAAAUGACGGUACCUGACUAAGAAGCCCCGGCUAAAUACGUGCCAGCAGCCGCGGUAAUACGUAUGGGGCAAGCGUUAUCCGGAUUUACUGGGUGUAAAGGGAGCGUAGACGGUGAUGCAAGUCAGAAGUGAAAGCCCGCGGCUCAACUGCGGGACUGCUUUUGACACUGAUAUUCUUGAGUGAAGUAGAGGCAA
rnacentral:rRNA from 1 species